rnacentral:rRNA from 1 species
AUGAGCGCGGAGAUGGCGGGACACUCAACUCCGGCAUCACCCCCUUCUUAUUUACUCGCCCACCUCUAUGCUCUUCCCUAUAUGAAGCCAUUUGCCCUAGAAAAAAUAAAAAGAAAACUUUCAGGACCUUUUGCCACCGUCUCGAGGCGGAAACACCGGCGGAGCACUUUUGCUCUCCGGCAGAGCAAUUCUGCCGCAGAAACUUUCCUCUGGGAGGGGAAAAUCGAAGCCAUCAUCAUCACCAAUGCUCCUCUCAUCGUGGGAGGCAUCAUCUUCAUCAACAUCUUCACUAGCACCAACUCAUCUAUAAACCCUAGUUCAUCUCUUGUGUUCAACCUUUGUAUCAAACCUCAGAUUGGUACCUCGGGCUGCUAG